rnacentral:rRNA from 1 species
GUAGAGAUGAAAUUUUGUUAUACCUCUUUCGUAUGAGAAACUAUGGCACAGGUAUAGGUGAAAGCAUCCCCUUAUGUGAUAACUGACGUUGAGGGACGAAGGCUUUUUGUGCGAACAGGAUUAGAUACCCCAGUAGUCAAAGCAGAAAAUGAUGAAUGUCAUAGAUUAGAUAUACAAUUUAUUCUAUAAAUGAAAGUGUAAGCAUUCCACCUCAAGAGUAAUUUGGCAACAUUGGAACUGAAAUCAUUAGACCGUUUCUGAAACCAGUAGUGAAGUAUGUUGUUUAAUUUGAUGAUACGCAAAAAACCUUACCACAAUUUGAAUAUUUAUAUAUAUCUUUUAUUGAUUUUUACUAACAUAUAUGUAGACAAUUAAAAUGAUGCUUAUUUCUCGUUUGUGAGACUAAGCAUCAAAAAAGAUAGUAUAUUUACAAGCGUUGCACGGCUGUCUUCAGUUAAUGUCGUGAGAUUUUGGUUAGUUCCAUUAAAUUAACGUAAACCCUUACUUUAUUUUUAUAUAAAGUAGUUCUCCGCUAUA